GACGUAGGAGGCGAGCGUUAUCCGGAUUCACUGGGCGUAAAGGGUGCGUAGGUGGUUGUGCAAGUCUGAUGUGAAAUCUCCGGGCUUAACCCGGAAAUGGCAUUGGAAACUGCAUGGCUAGAGGGUUGGAGGGGGGACUGGAAUACUUGGUGUAGCAGUGAAAUGCGUAGAUAUCAAGUGGAACACCAGUGGCGAAGGCGAGUCCCUGGACAACACCUGACACUGAGGCACGAAAGCUAGGGGAGCAAACAGG
rnacentral:rRNA from 1 species